UAUAGUAGAGAAUAGCCCGGCGAAAGUCGGAUUAAUGCUCUAUGUUGUGUUUUGAGGACAUCUGACGAACACCAAAGGUUCACCGCUAUAGGAUGGGGAUGCGUCUGAUUAGCUUAUUGGCGGGGUAACGGCCCACCAAGGCGACGAUCAGUAGGGGUUCUGAGAGGAAGGUCCCCCACAUUGGUACUGAGACACGGACCAAACUCCUACGGGAGGCAGCAGUGAGGAAUAUUGGUCAAUGGGCGAGAGCCUGAACCAGCCAAGUAGCGUGCAGGAACCGACUGCCCUAUGGGUUGUAAACUGCUUUUAUCAGGGAAUAAAGUGCGGCACGUGUGCCGUUUUGUAUGUACCUGAUGAAUAAGGACCGGCUAAUUCCGUGCCAGCAGCCGC
rnacentral:rRNA from 1 species